rnacentral:rRNA from 1 species
AGUGAACGCUGGCGGUAGGCCUAACACAUGCAAGUCGAACGGCAGCACAGUAAGAGCUUGCUCUUACGGGUGGCGAGUGGCGGACGGGUGAGGAAUACAUCGGAAUCUACUUUUUCGUGGGGGAUAACGUAGGGAAACUUAUGCUAAUACCGCAUACGACCUACGGGUGAAAGCAGGGGAUCUUCGGACCUUGCGCGAUUGAAUGAGCCGAUGUCGGAUUAGCUAGUUGGCGGGGUAAAGGCCCACCAAGGCGACGAUCCGUAGCUGGUCUGAGAGGAUGAUCAGCCACACUGGAACUGAGACACGGUCCAGACUCCUACGGGAGGCAGCAGUGGGGAAUAUUGGACAAUGGGCGCAAGCCUGAUCCAGCCAUACCGCGUGGGUGAAGAAGGCCUUCGGGUUAUAAAGCCCUUUUGUUGGGAAAGAAAAGCAGCAGGUUAAUACCCCGCUGUUCUGACGGUACCCAAAGAAUAAGCACCGGCUAACUUCGUG